rfam:Algibacter sp. SK-16 scaffold9_cov54_read183, whole genome shotgun sequence.
GAGAAUUGGUCUCUCGACUGGGAUGUUAGGCAUAUCAGUCAAACCGCCUUAUGGGGCUUGCUUUUCACGGGUUGGUCUUGAGCGAUAAGGUAAAAGGCGCUACCAUUUUUGU